rnacentral:rRNA from 1 species
UACGAAGGGGGCUAGCGUUGUUCGGAAUUACUGGGCGUAAAGGGCGCGUAGGCGGUCCUGAUCGUCGGAUGUGAAAGGCCUGGGCUCAACCUGGGAAUGGCGAUGGAUACUGGCGGGCUAGAGUGCGGUAGAGGAGAGUGGAAUUCCCGGUGUAGCAGUGAAAUGCGUAGAGAUCGGGAGGAACAUCAGUUGCGAAGGCGGCUCUCUGGACCAGCACUGACACUGAGGCACGAAAGCGUGGGGAGCAAACAGG